rnacentral:misc_RNA from 1 species
UUAUUGUCAUAUGCCUAUAUAUGUGUUUGUAAUUAAAUGGCGAUUUGUGAACAGCUUACACUGUGUAUAUACAUAAUUCUUACAAAAUACCUGUUAUAUACGUUCUUGAUUAAAUUUCGUUAUUAUUGAUUUCAUCAAUUCUAAAAAUGCGUUCAGUUGUAGAAAUUGGUGCUAGUGUUCCAGCUUUUCUGGGGAAAUUAUGGAAAUUGGUAAACGAUUCGGAGACAAAUCAUUUGAUUUCAUGGAGCCCUGGCGGAAAAACAUUUGUCAUAAAAAACCAAGCAGAUUUUGCUCGAGAAUUAUUACCUCUUUACUAUAAACACAACAAUAUGGCAAGUUUUAUUAGGCAAUUGAAUAUGUAUGGUUUUCACAAAAUCACAUCGGUUGAAAAUGGAGGUUUGAGAUAUGAAAAAGAUGAUAUUGAAUUUUCCCAUCCUUGUUUUAUGAGAGGUUAUGCAUAUUUGCUAGAGCAUAUUAAGAGGAAGAUUGCAAAUUCAAAGUCCAUUGUAAGCAGUGAUAGUGGAGAGAAAAUUCUUCUUAAACCAGAGUUGAUGAAUAAGGUAUUGGCAGAUGUAAAGCAAAUGAAAGGGAAACAAGAGAGUUUGGAUGCUAAGUUUAGUGCAAUGAAGCAAGAAAAUGAAGCAUUAUGGAGAGAGGUGGCUAUGUUGCGACAGAAACACAUCAAGCAACAACAUAUAGUUAAUAAUCUCAUCCAAUUUUUGAUGUCUCUAGUGCAGCCAACUAGAACUGCUAAUGCAAAUGGGAAUAAUAUGGGUGUGAAAAGACCUUAUCAGCUUAUGAUAAAUAAUGCAGCACAUAACUCGGCAACAGACAGCUCUUAUCCUGGAAAAACAAAGAAUAUCAGACUAGAUAAAGAUAUAUUAGAAGAUGUGAAUGAGGAUAAUUUGGAAGAUGGACCUACUAUUCAUGAGUUGGUUCAUGAUGACAUUUUGCCUAAUGAAGAAUCUCAAGAGUCAUUAGAUCCAAGUAAUUUUGUAACAAUAGAAGUGCCUACUGUUUCUACUGAUCAGAGUUCUGUUGAUCCUGCAGGAGCUAUUCAAUAUCAUGUGACUAUGGAAGAUGCUGAUGAUCCAAAAUCAGGUUCUGCUAAAGUAAUUCAAUUUUAUCCUGUAUAUAAAUUAAACAAUUCUCCACAAACUCUUGAUUCUACAAACUCUUUACCUGUAACUUCAUCAACAUCUGCUGUGAAUACACCUGCAUCUCCAGAGCAAGUGAGCAAUACCACCACAUCCUUGGGAAAAUCUAAAUCAAAGAGCCGAAGUGUCAACAAAUCUUCUACCCAACAAAGUGGCAAAACACUGAUGUCUACAAGUAACUUCAACACCUUAAACCCGUCAGCUGACUUGAAGCUUCCUGCUGAAAUAUUUGCCAGUGACGACUCUGCGAGUGAGGUUGCAAUCCCAGUAACAGAAGUUUUACCAGUUCAGAAUAUCUUACAAGAUACCAUUCUCAAUACAAACAAUUCAUCACCUUUAACAAAGGAUAAAAUGCUUGGAGGCAUUAAAUUAGAAAAACCAAUGGAUGGACUAGCUAAGUCUGACGGGAAAUCUAAGAAGUCUAAUAAGGAUUAUGUGGCUGAUGAUACAAUUAACAUAGCAGAUAUUAAGACUGAAAUGCAAGAUGACUGGAGUAAUAUGACACUUGCCACAGUCAAUAAUAACACUAAUGUCAACAGAUUUCAGACAAGGAGUAGGAGAGAUAACAUCGGAAAAAAUCGAGAGGAAUUUACUUCUCUUUUUGGAACAAAUUCAAACAAGGAUGAUAUUGAUGACCAUCUGGAUACCAUGCAAUCAGACCUCGAGUCUUUAAGAGAAUUAUUGCGAGGUGAUGGUUAUUCGUUAGACACAAACACGUUGAUGGGGAAUGCUGAUGCAAGUUUAGGACCUACGAUGUCAUUCACCAUUCCUCAACAGACUGCAAAUAAUUAUUUAUUUGGAGCCGAUGAUCCUUUUUAUGGCCUUUCAUUUAAUAUGGACGAGAGAGCAAAGUCAUCAAAUAGUGAUACAACCAAACAGUGUGCGAUGAUUGAUUUUGAUUGGCUGAUCGGUAACAGCGAGGCAUCGCCUGCGAAGUAGUCUUACUACUUCAUCCUCCAAGACAUUGCCAAGAUGUUUGUUGGUGUCAUGUUCACGUGACCUAUUGGAUUUUUUUUUGCUGAAGAGAAUCAGCUUAUAUCAUAUACAGGAAAUGUUCCAAACUUUGAUGAUAUAAAUA